UUAUCAUUAUCACUAUUAUUAUUAUUAUUGUUAUUAUUAUAUUCCUGUCUUAAUAAACUGUCUUUAUCUCAACUCACCGGCUUCACUUUCCCGUUUCUCUCCCCCAUCCCAGAGAGGGAGAGGGGAGGGUGAGCAAACGGCUGUGUGGUGUUUAGCUGCCAGCCGGGUUAAACCACAACACUCAGGGAAGAAGAGGAAUUUCCUGGGGAAAUGUAAACUGGUACAGGGGUGA
rnacentral:lncRNA from 1 species